rnacentral:rRNA from 1 species
UACGGAGGGUGCAAGCGUUAUCCGGAUUCACUGGGUUUAAAGGGUGCGUAGGUGGCUUUGUAAGUCAGUGGUGAAAGCCUGGAGCUCAACUCCAGAACUGCCAUUGAUACUGCUUAGCUUGAAUCACGUCGAGGUGGAUGGAAUAUUACAUGUAGCGGUGAAAUGCUUAGAUAUGUAAUAGAACACCGAUUGCGAAGGCAGUUCACUAGGCGUGUAUUGACACUGAGGCUCGAAAGCGUGGGGAUCAAACAGG